UAUAUUCCCAGACCCCUAGACCUGUUUUUAAAAUAAAUAGGGAGGGCUGGGGAUGUGGCUCAAGCAGUAGUGCGCUCGCCUGGCAUGCGUGGGGCCCGGGUUCGAUCCUCAGCACCACAUACAAAGAAAGAUGUUGUGUCCGCCGAAAACUAAAAAAUAAAUAUUAAAAAAAUUAUUUCUCUCUCUCUCUUAAAAAAAAAUAGGGAAGGAGGCAGGGAGGUUAUUUUCCCAACUGUUAUGAAAGCAACAUUCAUUUAAGAACAUGAGGAGGGCUGGGGGUAUAGGUCAAUGGUAGAGCACUUGCCUAGCAAGAGUUGAGGCCCUGGGUUCAAUUCUCAGCACUAGGGGGAAAAAAAUGGGAAAAAUUGAAAAAAAGUGUAACCAAUUGUAUCAUUGCCCACAUAAAUUGAAUCAUUGCCAUCAAUCAUCUUGGUGUGUUUCCUAGACAUAGAUUAUUUUGUUUUGUUCCUUUUAUAGUUGUAAUCAACUGGUGACACUGAACUGAUUAUAACAAUAACAAAGCAGCUUGAGAAAGCAAAGGGAAAAUACGCCCAGUGCAGGCAAGGGUGUGGAAAACACUUUCACACAGUGUUGGUGGAACUAUGCAUUGGUAGAGUCUUUCUGGAGGCAGUUUGACAGUAUCAGAGUCAUACAUAUGCAUGACCUUUACCCCAGGAUUCUCCUUGGAAUUGUCCUGCAGAAAUAAAUGUUCAAGUGCACAAAGUUAAGUAGAUGAGGAUGUUUGAUGCAUUUUUCCCCAGUAAUAGGGAUUGAACCCAGGGACACUACCACUGAGUUAUAUCCCUAGUCCUUUACAUUAUUAUUAUUAUUAUUAUUAUUAUUUUAAAUUUUGAGACAAUCUCACUAAGUUACAGAGGUAGGCCUUGAACUAGCAGUCCCCCUACCUCAGCCUCCUGAGUUGAGUUUCUGGGAUUACAAUGUCAAUGUCCUUGGCAAUGCAUUAGUUCUCUUUAAAUAAGGAAAACCUGGGGAAACCCACAUACUUAUUGCUAUAAGUAAAAUAAAUUCCAGUCUGUCCCUAGAUGAUAUGGGAAAUGCACCACAGCACAUUGUUAAGAGAGGGCACAGCACAUUGCAGAGCACGUGGAAUCCCAUUUGGGUAUUAAAAGCAAACACAGAAAAUGUUUCUGCCUUGAAAGAAAGGCACUGAAAUGUUAGCAGUGGUGAGUGUGAAGAGGGAACUGGUGAGUUGGUUAGGUGGGGACACUGCAGAAUCACCAGGGGCAGAUGGGACAGUGUCUGAGAUUCAGCCAGUGCAGUGAGAUCACUGGGUUCCAAACCCAGAACUACCGCUGACCUUUACACUCAGCAGCUUCUGAACCCCAGCUUUCUCACAAGGAAGAUGGGAAUGAAUGGCAGUUGCUUCUGUCUCCCAGGGCUGCCUGCAGUGGGAGCCAAGUAUCUCACUCAAUAAGUGCUUAGCAUAUGAAUGUAGUUAAUCAAUAUUAGCUAACUCAGAGAUUCCUGAGCUCACAUUUCAGCUGAGCCACCAAUUGGGCAAAUUUCUUAACUUCUUUGAGCCUCGGUUUUUCUGUGAAAAAUGUUGAUUUAUAGAAAGACACAGGGGCGCAGGCCUAUGAUCUUAGCUACUGAGCCUGAGGUAGGAGGAUUGAAAGUUUGAGGGCAGCCUCAGCAACUCAGCGAGACCCUGACUCAAAGAAGAAAGGGCUUGGCAUGUAGCUCAGUGGUAGAGUGCCCCUGAGUUGCAACCUCAGUACUGGGGCAGGGCAGGGGGAGGUCAAUUAUAGCAUCAACCCUAUAGGGGGGUUUUUUGUUUGUUUUUUUGUGAUGCUGGGGAUUGAACCCAGGGCCUUGUGCAUGAAAGGCAAACACUCUACCAACCAAACUAUAUCCCCAGCCCAAGCCCUAUAUGGUUUUAAGGACAUGGGAUUAUAGGAUGUCAGUAUCUCCCUGAAGAAAUUGUCCCAUGUCCUAAGACAAAGCUGGUCAUUCCAGUCUCUGGAUUUUAUUCCCAGGAAUGUAGAUCCCAUUAAAUCCCCAGUCCUGGAGGGACAGGCUUUGUGCCUCUAGUUGAGCCAGCCCCAGUGUGGGAGGCAGGGGAGCCAUGGGGGUGUGGCCACAGUUGCUGCCCAGCUCCAGCCAAGGGUUGGCCAUUGUAGACUGGGCCAAGAGCUGCCAGAAAUGACUAUUUUUCAAGAGAAGUUGUGAAAUCAAUCUCCUGAUUUAACACUCUUAGCAAUCAGUUCAUUUGGUGAACGCUGUGAAAGCAAAUAAAAUAUGCCAGCAGACCACAUUCAACCCAGGCUGUGGGAUUGCUCCCUGUUCUACACCCGUUCUGCACUUGAUUUAGCAAAAUAUUUACCAAGAUCCUACUGUACCUGUCACUCCUCCAGCACCUGACCAUGCUUCUUGUUCUGCAACCUCAGGUCUGCUGGCAUAGUGCUCCUGUCAGUCGGUCAAUCAAUCUGAACUGGAAUGUGGAAGAAUGCCUGGGCUUCUCUGCUUUGGGGGAAAGGUCAGCCCAUAUGCAUUGUCAAUUUGCUCCUGGGGAUCUGAUUAGAAUCUAAUGUAAUCUGACCUAAUCCAGUAAGAUUUAAUUGAUGCUGAUGUUUUGUUAGUUUCAACUGUUUAGUUUUUCUUUUUAAUAGUUAUAAUAAAAUUACUUUUACCAAGUAA